AAAUAUGUAAAUAGGAGGUUUCUUUCAAAACGGAAAACGUGUGUAUCUAUACAUCUAGACCUGGCAGCGCCACACACCACUCAAGGGUUAACAUUGCACAAGGGAAGAGUUCUUGCGCCAUCUACUGGCCAUCAUAAGCCUCCCGCUUCUCUUUCAUAUCUUAAAAGGUACCCUAUUUCCCUCAUCCCAAGGUGUAGGGGAGCUUCGUCCGGAGACCAGAUAGUUUUGCUCUAGUAUGCCAAUUUCCUAAUCUUUUUUGGUUGGUCCUGGCCCAGAUCUUACAACUGACGAGUUCCUUAGACUAGAUGCCGGAUUCAAGAUCUGACCUUUUAGGGAAUCUGAUACCAUUUCAGGAAGGGGAGGGCUGCAGCAAUAGCCCUGAAAUAGAUAAUUGCAAAGGCUUCCGUCUUCAUUUGCAUGUCAAAGGGUAUCAGGGGGAUUAGUGUUUAACUAAAGGGCUCGUUUAAGAGGACUGCCCAAUUUGAGUUUGCAGCUCUCCACAUUGCCCACAAUGAUGGCUCCCGUCCCGCACACUACACGAUUACCCUGGCCAGAUUUUGUCCCCGGGCUCAUCGUGGAGCUGCCUGCUCAGGAGAGCAAAGCUAUUGCAUCUGGAGGGAGUUCUGCUCGGGUAAAGAGGCACAGAGCAAGCGUCUAGAGGCGAAUGUGGUGUGUGGGUUCAAUCCGCAGGCAUAGGAUGGAUUCUGAGCUCUCCGGAUUCCAAGGGAGUGGGCGACAAGGUUGGGACUAGACGGAGAUUGGGAGGAUCAACACUGAAAACGUCAUUAGCCUGCUCAGCCACCUUGGUGGCAGCUCUGGCACUGAUUUCAGUCAAGAUGUCAGGGUGUGCUGCUGCUGCUGCUGUUGCCUUUGCUGGAUGAACAAGGAGUUAGAUGCAAACAGGUCCAUGGACUUAAUGAGGACACUGGACAAAAUCCUCCUUACCAAGUGUGCAGAGGUCAGGAGGAAAAGUGACUUGGUCAGGAUCAUCAAGACAAUCACAAUGAUGAAGUACCCUGGAGAGCUCUUCAAAGAGUCUAGAUCAGAAAUGGACAGGUUUUUUAAACUGGAAGGACCAGAUUUCCACUCCUUUACAGUGCCCCCCACCCCCAAUACUUACACAAUGCAGUGAAGCCUGAUCUUAACACAAGGCUUAGUUGGCACUUAGAAGGGAGAAAUAAGCACCUUUUCAAAAAAAUUGUUUUGUAUUAAUCAGGUCCUGAUAUAUAUUGCAUAUACUCCACUGUAGCAUCACAUGGGCAAAAUCACUGAAAAAAUGGUGAAAAUAGAAUGAGUAUGCUGAGGGAAAAAAAAAACAUAAAGACUUCAGAAGAGGUUACCUUUAAUUUGAAAAGAAUUACAUAUAUUUUUUGACAGAGUCAUGAACUUAUUGUUUUCCUUAAUGCAUGUCAUAGAUAUACAGGUUUAUAUGAAGAACUUACUUUGUUCAAAUACAGUAUUUAUUUUGUUAUAGAAGUGUUCCUGCCUGUUAGUGGUGAAUGUCCACUGAUUGUAGAGAUAAACUUUUUAAUUAAAAGGCUCAAAUUCAAAUCUAUGGAUCCGUUGGUGAGGGGACUAGUUAGAGUAAGAUAAAAAUGUUAGUGAUUUAAAAAUAAUGAAGCAGGCCGUUUCCUGUUUGUUCACACUUUUUAUUUGGCAUUUGUUGCCAGGAGAGUAGGGGAAAAAGAAGAGCUCAUUUUCGCAGUUUUCUAGUUAAAUGUCCAUUCUUGGAUGCAUCAUAUCUGACCUCCUCAAUUUCUGAGAAAUAAAACAUUUGAAUUUAAAUGUUGAUUCUAGACUAAGGAGGGAAUGCUAACUCAACUCUAUGUAUUUCCAUUUGCAAUAGCUCCGAUUUGGUUGAGGAGAAAAGAAAGAGAUCUGAUAUUCACAAUAAAGUAACUUUUCUUUAAGCAAUCAUAUUUAAGAAGAUAAAUUAUCAAGUGAAUAAAAGUAUCUGUCCUGCUGUUAAUCAGGAAACAUUGUUGAGAGGAGGAGAUGAGCCUGGUGGAAGUGCUACUAAGUGCGCCUUCCUAGGCAUUCAUUCCUCUCAAGCUCUGACUCCUCUUUCAGUUUAAUUAAUAGUGAGAUUUAACAGGCAUUUCAGUCUUUUUAUGCUUUAACCCCGUUAAGAAAGUCAAAGUCCAAAGUUUCUAUGUCACAUAAGGGUAAUAAUAGUGUAUUUUAAACAAUGAGAGAACAGAAAAGGCUUAAGACUGAAGGCAGUAUCUGUUGUUGUAUCCAAACAAAUCAUACUUCAACUCCAAAAAACCUCUUUUUUGACAUGAGCCCCAUAUAUAAUAAAUUUAGUACAUUAGCAUUCAUUUUUUUAAUCGGUGCCUUCUUAAAUAUAGACAAUAUAAUAUAUAACAUAUAAAUAGUUUAAUAUAAAUGACAUGAGCCCAUUUUCCUGAAAGAGGAGAACCAUGGUAAAUAGUUGGGGGACAUGUGGGUAAUGACCCUAAGAGAAAAGAGAUAAGAAUUGAAAGAAUAUUUAAAGACCUUUCUGUUUUUCUUGAGCUAUAUUCCACUUUCUUGCUUACCCUGGGCCUUCUGUCACUAAACUUGUCUGUACUUAGAAGUGUGGUGGGGGGAAAAAAAAAAAAGUUAAGCAAAAGAUAGUUUUGCUGAACAAACAGGAUAAUGCAGAUCUCUUGUUUUCCUAAAUAAUAAAGCUGUUUUCCUGACAUGAUCUAAGUCUCAAUUCCCAGUGUAGCAGAUCUUUUUAUCAUCAUUUCUUUAGCUCUAAUAGGGUGAUAUUAGCCUGAAAUGCGCUUGAGAAUACAUAAACAUUUAGGGAACAUAAAUCAAAUGAGUGGAUUUCAAAAGAUACCAAAUCAAUCAACAUUACUAUCAAAAUCCAAUGCAUAUUUGAUUUUGUGCCCUGAAGUUAAUCUGCCAAUAAACUCAUUAUCUCCUAAAAUUUUUGACUUUUUUUAUCACCUACAUUUCUGCUCAUCUUCAAAACUGAUUAUCAUUUCUUGACAUAACCGCAUAUAUUCGAAUAUUCAGAGUUCAGUAAACCAUUACCACAGUUAUUUUGCAGUUUGCUAGUUAGUCUCUCAUAUAUUAGGUAGUAUGUAUGAGACCUUCUUUAUAUUCUGUUUCACUUAUCUACUUAAACAUCAGUUUUAUGAAGUUUUGCUGAGAAACCUGAACCUAGCAGUAAAUAAUUCUACAACUGAAACUUAAUUCUGGAAAGGUGCAAGCUUUAAAUAAUAUUUGAUUGUAAUCCCAGAAGCCCUAACCAAGCAAGACACCACCCUUGGGUAGAAGGCAAGUACAUGUCACCUGUGCUUGGAAUUUCCUUUCAUUAGAUAGUGAAGUAGUUUUGCUGAUAAUAAAGAAGAAUUUGUUAAUUUUUUGUAAAUAUAAUUUGUCAGGUUUUUUUCCUAAAUAGUUAUAAACUAGGGGAAAUUAAUAAUAUAACUGUUGGAGGUUUGACAAAUUUGUAGGCCAUAUUCCAUAUAUGUGGAUACAUGUGCUCGUGUCUGAACCAUAUUGAAAAUAUGAAUAUUCAUUACUGUAUAAUUUGACCCAGUGUUUAAUCUUCCCAAAUGAUUACUGACAACUGUUAUUUCAUGGUUUUUCAAAUUUAUCCAGAUUUAACAAAUAUUUAAAUAUUUCCCAGAAUAAGAGUAUAGGAAGCCAAACAAUAUAAGCAUCUUUUCUUCAGAGGAAGAUAACAGUGACCUUGACUUAGAAGGAUCAUUUUGGCCAUAGAAAUAAAGAAAAUCAAUGCAGCUGAUUUUGGUUUGGCUACACAUAAUCCAAUUUGGACUGUAAGUACAAGUAGCUGUCCCAUCUGGACAGGGAUCAAUUUCAUCUUUAUUCUUUGCAUUGCAAGUAUCAUUUUCAUCUCUGUGUUCAUUCAUUUAUUUAAGAAAUCAUUUUGAGCUCCUAUUAUCAGGAAACAAAAACAAGAUUUACACAUUAUUCUCAGGGAGCUUACAAUGUAAUGGAAGGGAUAGAAUAUAUUCUCAAAUAACAAUAAUGAAUGUCGAUAUAGUAUUACCACUUUAAGAGAGAGGCCUAUAAAACACCAAGAUUGUGGGAGAUUAUUUAUAGCUGGGGGGAAAUUGAGAAACUUCAAGGAUAUACCUUUGAGCCCAUUCUAGAAUCAUCUGGGGAUGUUUGGGAGAAAAAUAUCUUGGUAGAGAGGCUAUUUUCCAGAAAUAUUGUUAAGUAAUGUUAGGAACUCUAUAAACAUAUUUAGGAUUUGGUCAAUACGGUUAAGCGAUAAGGACAUGACAAAUGAGGCCAGAAACAUAAAAUUAGCCAAGGAGAAGUGGGACUUGGGAGACAAUACGUAUCCUUGCAAAUAUUUUCUAUAUUUUCUUUCUUUUUAGUAGACUGUAAUGAUUGGUCAGUUCAAGUAAACCCCCAGUGGCACAUUUUUUAGAGCAAAUCAAUGGAUUGCUUCAUUCAAUAAGCAAAUCUAUUUUUUUGUUAUUUUGUAUGCAGUGGUUUAUAAAAAGAGUCAGUUUAUCCUUCCAAGCUGAUUGAAAUCACCAGGCAUUUAUUAUAGACAUACUAAAUAAGGUUGAAGAAUUAUUAAAUAAUGUAUUUUAAUAUUAAUGAAUAUGUAGUGAAUAAAAUACAUAAUAUAUACUACUAAUAUUGAUAAAUAUGGAGUGUUAAUAAGUAGGUAGAUCUGGAUUUGUUUGUCUCUGAUUACUUAUAGUAAUGCUAUGAACAAAUGCUACAUUUUCAAAUGCAUAGAGAAUUUACCCCAUUAUCCAGUAUAUGAAUACUAGUCUGAAUUUUGGAGAUUUCACGUCUAGAAUGGGGAGUGAAUCUAGUGCAUGACAAAAGAUUUCUCUAUAGAUAGAACAGCAACAGCGUCUUUUAGAGGGUUAGGCUAUCCAACAAUUGCAAUGUGGUUAUCAAUUAUUUGCCCAUUUCAGUUUUUUAGAGUGUGUGUCUCUUGGGACAAAAAGACUCUUGAUCCUUCUUUUUCCCGUUUAGCUUUGCCUGUUUCUAAUCAAAACAAAUAAACAAGCAAAACACCAUUAAAGCAAACAAGCAAACAACAAUGAUAAAAUAAUCAGCAAACAACUCUUCUUGAUUAGAAAUCUCAGUGAUCAUAAAGGAGUGGGGGAAGAAAUAUGGUGUGUGAAGGCAAAUUCUUCCUUUCCAAAGGUAAAACAAUAAAAUACAUGCUUUUCUGUGUCUACAGCAGUGUGCAGUAAUGCCUUUUUGAUUAAACAAAACAAAACAAAAUGUAACAAAAACCUGGGAUUGAAAACACCUUUAGGCUUAAAAAACUAUCACCUUAUAAUCACCUCAAUUUUUCAUCUGUAAAAUGGGAAUAACUAUUUACUUCACAGAGCUUUUGCUAACACUCUCAAGAGGUGUGAUGAUGACAGAAGUUACCAUAUAUACCCUUAUCACUCUGUACCUUUUCAUAGUACCUCUAAUGGAUUGAAUAGUGCACCACCCAAAAUGAUACUUCCAAAUCUUGACCCCUGUGAAUAUGAAUGUAACCUUAUUUUUAAAAGGAGUCUUUGCAGAUGUCACCAAGAUAAAUCUCUUGAGAAGAGAUCAUCCUGGAUUUAGGGUGGGACCCUAAAUCCAAAGGCAAAUGUCCAUUGGAAAGAGAGAGAGAGAUAGACAGAGAGACAGACAGACUUGAGACUCUAAGAGAAAUCAAUGCAAAAAAGAAGCAAAAAUUGGAGUGAUUCGGUUUACAAGCCAAGGGAGGCCAAAGAGUGCUGGCAGGCACCAGGGAGAAUGGCAGGGAACAGUUUUUCCCUCAGAACCUCUGAAAGGAAUCUAUCCUGCCAACUUCUUGAUUUCAAACUGUAAGAGCUGUCAUAAGGCAAAAUGUCUGAUCUUGCUUCUCUUUCCACCCCCUUCACGAGCUCUUCUUCCUAUCCCUACAUAUAAGUUUUCAUUAAUAUUCCUUUACUUCAAAAUGCUGAUGCAUUCUUAUAUUGUCACCUCUUUUAGAAUGUUUUACAUAAAUCUCUCAAGCCGCAGCUAGAGCCAUAACUGUGUACACUUUGUUCUUACCCUAACAUCUCAGACACAUUGCAGCUAUUAUUGUACUCAUACUCUUCCAUAUACUCCUCCCUCCCUAAACUUGCUCCCUCUGAUUAAACUUCUCUGUAAUCGCUGCCUUUUGCAUCCCAACUACUCAGAGUCAAAACCUCAUUUUUACACCUCUCUCUUUCUUAUGUCUGUGGUGGAGUCAAACACUAAUAUCUGAAAAUACCUCCUUUACAUUAGACUUCCCACCUUCCUUUCCAUUUUACUGCCAUUCUGUGAGCUCAGGUGCUAACUACAUCAUGGAUGUGUUACUGCAAGGAUCUCCUAGUUACUCACACUCUCCUCAGGCUUGCAGCUUUUACUUCAUUCUGUCAUGCACUCAGUAUGAUCACUUCCUCACUGCACCUACCUUCUCAAACAAAACUUCAUGGCUCUCCAUUAUCAUUAUCUUCAGGAUAAAUUGAUGGUCUCAAAUCUUAUAAUCAAGCCGCUGUUCAUGGAUGUUUCCUCCUUCUAGUGAGCAAAUUCUGAUCAAUGCACACUUUGCAUUCUGCAUCUGAACCUUACUUGGUAUUGGUGUGUAUUUGCAUUCUGCAUCUGAACCUUACUUGGUAUUGCUCACCUGGAUCCUGAUACUUGCUUCUUUUUCAUUCACCUAUCCAAAUUCCUAAUUUCAAUGCUGAGUUCGGGUCUUAUUUUCUCCAAACAUGUUGUAUUUGUCUAUUCCAAUGACUAUAAGCAUAUAUGUAUUAAAUCUAUGUAUAUUAUCUUAUGACAUUUAUACUACUUUUGCUUUGUUAUUUACUAUUCAUGUCUUAAUGUAUCGAAACAUGUUAGGAUUUGUUUAAAGUAUAUCUUUAAAAAGUCCACAAUAAACAUUUUUUUAUACUGUUCACUUUAAUACGUGUUUGAUGAAUGCAUAGAUUAUAACAUAUUGACUACUUAACUCUGAGUUUAAUCUUUGUUUAACUGAUGGAAACUUCGAAUAUGUAUGUGUGUAGGUUAUAUAGACUUAUGAGUGAGAGAGAGGGAGGGAGGGAGGAAGAGAGAGAGGAAGAAGAAGGAAUGCACAUAGUGCAAAGAGCACAGGGAAAGGAAAGAAGGUUUGUGUUCACUAACAUUCAUUAUAAUAAAAGGUUUGAUAACUAAUGCCAGAAAGACUACUCUCUGAUUUCUUCCUUGGCUCUGAGACACUCCAAUUUCCCAUGCAAAAGCAGUUCUAACUGUUUGGCAGAUUGUUUGAGCUGGAAUUAAAUGUGCACAGCUGGUACCAUCUGCUGCAAAUUCUUUAAUUCUUGUUAUCUCUUAAACAGCUUUUGGUUUUGUUUUAUUCAUAAUUCAUUUACGGAGGAUGAGGAAGACCUAUUGAAGUCUUACUAUUGUUAAAUGGGUGUAUUGCUGGUUCUCAGAUUAGUAAAUCAUAGUAAACUCUUGUUGAUCAAUAUCACUAAGUAUCUACUUUUACUGAUGACCAGACUGGUUUGUUAUCUAAAAUCAAGGUCGGCUUUGGGUUGUCAACUAGAUUAAUCUCUUAAGAUUAUGUAUUAUGAUGAUAAUAAUAAUUGAAAUAUUUUUCCUGUGUUGUGCAACUUUAUUUUCUCUUCUCACUCAUUUUAUAGCUGAAAUCUAGAACUUUUGAAUCAUAAUUUCCUAGUCAGUAGACAACAUCAGAAAUCUAGAAGUUGAGACUAUUUCCUCUCUUUCCCUCAUCUCUUUCUUAUUCUGUUUUCUUAAUAGCUCUUAAAUCCCUGUCUCCCUAUGACUCUGGCAAUCCCUGACUUUGUGCAGAUCCUCCACACUUCACAUCCCAGUAAAAUUCAGUGCAUUCUCUACUGAAGACUUAGAGGGGCCUUUCUUAUACAUAAUUCUGAUCAUUAUACUCUUUUGCUUAAAAUUUCCCAAUCUCUAUGUAUUUGCUUCAAGUUGUUUGAAAAACAUGUGCAUUUUGACCAGUUACUGACGCUCCCUUUUCCUGACUAGCUCCCUUACUUCUAUUUCCAUUUUGCCUGGAAAACCCCAGAAUAUACUUCAAAUCAAAAAUUGGGUGGUUUUUUCCCCUAUUUGCAGAAUUACUUUCUUAUUCUUCUUGGUUUGAGCAAAAUGACCUUCUUGUUCUGGUAGGAACUUGUGCAUAUACUCCUACUGGAACAUUUAUUAUAAUAUACUGACAUUUUUUACCUAUUUAGCCUUUGUGUUAAAUUUUGUUGUCCUAAUGAACAGUGUCUUGUUUUUGCUAUUAAACUUCAAAUACUAGCCCACUGCCCUUCAAUAUUAGACAUUUGAUAAAUCAUUGAAUGGAUGAAUGAAUGAUUGGAAAACAAGAUCUGUAGUGAAAUUAGCGGGAAAGAAUUCAAUUCAUUGUAAGUAGAGGUCCCUUAUAAAUGAAGGCUCUCUGGUAAUGGAAACAUGAAUACAUAUUAAAAUACAAUUUUUUCCUCAUUUUAUUUUAAACUUUUAUCAAUUAAUUUCAUCCUAAUAGAUUAAAGGUCUUUAGCACCUUUAAUCAAUGAAAAUAAGGGCAGCCAAGGCAGCUACUUGGGCUACUUGGGUCUAAAUUUAGUUUAGUAUCAACAGAAUUCAUGCGGAUUGGUUCUCUUUACUCACUACUUUGCACAGAAGCAAGCAAUUGGCUUUUCCUUUAGUCUGACAUUUGUCUGAUCUGGCAUGGGUAAUAUAUAGUAUGCUCAUGGCAUCUUGCUCAAAUGCAGGGAAAAAAAUAUGAGGAAGCUUGAUCAGGGCACUAAAUUGUGUAAGUGUCUAUUCUGAGUAUUUAGGAUGACAGAACAUGUAAGGAGAAAAUAUGCAGAAAAAUACAGCAGCUUUUCUGGUAUUGUAGACCGCAUGUUGAAAACCUUACUAUUUAUGACUUUUUGAGGUGCUUGCUGAUAAUUCUGCAAAAUACUAGAGAGGUGUUAUGACAAUAUUACUGUUUCCUGGCAGAUCAUUUUGCAUGUUGAAUGGCUUUCUUUCUGGAAGUUUUCUGUCUUUCUUUGUUGAGUCAGAUUUUUCUGUGCCAUAAACAAGUGAAUUUUUAAGAUUUCAAUGUCCAUCAUAAUGAUCUGAUGUCGUACUGAAUCAAAUGGGAUGGAGCAAUGUCCCUGCAUUUUUAACAUGCUUCUUUACAGCAGAGGUUAAAAGAGGAUACUGAAUUUCACAAAGGUCAGUUUUCUCAGCAAAGGGAAUAUGUACCCCCUUCAGGUCUACCCAUGCAUGCUUUUGGUUAUUUAUUGAAUGGAAAAACAAGUGUAAAAAAACUAAACACAAGGAAAAAAAACCUACUGUUCUAAUUCAUUUAAAUGUACCGAUUAUAUAAAAGCAAAUGUUUCCUCAAUAUAAAGUAAAAUUGUAUCCUUGACAUGCUGUCAUAAUAUCUGGAAACCAUACUAAUCACCUAACACACAGAGAGACCCUGGGGGAGCUGAAGCCGAAAGGGACAGGGGGAAAGAGCAUGCUGUUAACUUAUUGCUGCUCAAAUAAACAGUUUUGCAAUAAUUACUAG